rnacentral:lncRNA from 1 species
CUCGGCCCUUGGUCCCUACCAACACAUUGACUGCUCUCCCCACAAGGUGAUUUCACUGCACUGGACACAAGAUGAGAUGGUUUAGAUGCUGGCACUGGAGCAGCUGCAGUAAUGUGAGCUGAAAGGAAUGCAGUUGUAUGUCGAGAGUGCCAAUUUCCAAAGCAGGUUCUUGAAAGGCUGUUUCUCUUCGUAUGGUGAGGGACCUGUGCUGUUAUCAAGACUAGGAAGGAAGGAGAUUCAUUAAAUGUCAUCAUCAGCCUGAACAGGUGGUUGGCAAAGGAACGGAAAGCACGGAGAUGAAGUUUUAGAGAUCGGGGUGAUUGCUGGCAACUAACAUUAUCAACUGUGAUUCCAAGAGGCCCCAACUGUGGGAGGCCUGGAGGAAGCCACAGAGGUUAUCUGGAGGGCCAGAGCUUACAAUCUGGUUGGACUGGAUCCAGCUGAAUCCAUCUGAGGCCAGCUCCAGGAAAGGCAGCCAGCUAAGAGAAGAGGGAAUGUGGCACAGGGCUCGUGGAGGGAGGUAAGUUAAGUGUCUACUCUGAUCCAGCCCAAGAAAGGCCCUUGAAUAGCUCCAGGAAACAAAAG